AGCCCUUGCAGCCCUCGUGCUCAACAGGCUUAGAGGCUCACUACAGAUUGCUGCUAUAAGAGCCCCUGGUUUCGGGGAGCGCAGGAGUCAAUACCUCGAUGACAUCGCCACUCUGACAGGAGGCACUGUCAUCAGAGACGAAUUUGGAGUACCCCUGCAUAAAGCAGACAAAACUGUCGUAGGAACUGCUGCCAAGGUUGUAAUUACUAAAGAUUCAACAACAAUAAUUGGAGAUGGUACUACACAAGAGGAAGUAAUCAAAAGGGUGACACAAAUCAAGAACCAGAUUGAGGCUACUGAACAUGAAUAUGAAAAAGAAAAGCUAAAAGAGAGGAUAGCCAAAUUAUAUGGUGGUGUUGCUAUCAUUCAGGUAGGAGCACAGACUGAAACCGAGCUAAAGGAAAAGAAACUGAGGGUCGAAGAUGCGCUGAAUGCAACAAAGGCGGCUGUUGAGGAAGGUAUUGUCGUUGGUGGUGGUUGUACCCUCGUAAGACUUGCAUCAAAAGUUGAUGCUAUUAAACAAACCCUUGAGAAUGAUGAACAGAAGGU